CUAGCUGUGCCCAGCCACGCGUUGCUGUGGUGAAAUAUGGUGGUAUGGGAAAUAAAGUAUUGAGGAAUUGGUGGUAGUUAAGGUAAAGGGUCCCCUGGGCUGAGUGGGUUGCUAGGAGACCAAGUGAGCGGAGCUUAGCCUUCUAACUGGCAGCAAUUGGAUAAAAACAAUUAUUCCUCUCCCUCUAAUUAGGACUUUAUUUUUCUUUUCUUUUUGUUGUAUCAACCUAGAGGCAUGGAUGAGGGAUUGUGAUGUCAAUUUUCGAGGUUGUGGGGUGUUCAUUUUUGUUGUUUUGUCCGCUGCCGUGAUGCCAUCACUCUUUUAUAUAUAUAGACAGUAUAGUGGUAUAGUUCAAUAUCGUAAUAUAGAAUGCUAAUAUUGUGCUAAGCUAAUAAUAUAAUAUAUUGUAUGUACAUACAGCUGCUUUGAGUCCCCUUCGGGGUGAGAAGGGUGGGAUAUAAAUGUAGUAAAUAAAUAUAGUAAAUAAUUACUUAAUUUUAGACUUAGGCUUGCCCAAAGUCUAAAAUGACUUGAAGACACACAACAACAACAAUCCUAAUUCAUUUGACUAUCUCAUUGGCCAGUGGCAGGCCCACACUUUCCACUGAAAUCCUGAUAGCUUUAUGUUGGUUAAAAUGGUUUUCAUUUUUAAAUAUUGUAUUGUUUUUUCAUUGUUGUUGUUUUGCACUGCAAAUAAGACAAAUAUGCAGUGUGCAUAGGAAUUUGUUCAAAUUUUUUUUUCAAAUGAUAAUUCGGCCCCUCAGCAGUCUGAACGAUUGUGGACCGGCCCUCUGCUUAAAAAGUUUGGGGACCCCUGCUGUAGAUGAUCCCAUGGAAAUCAUUUAUCAGCUAUAUGUGCAGAAGUACUGUAAUAGCAAAUUAGAAUGAUCCUCAGAUGAAAUGAGAUUUUGGAUAAAUGACUAGAGGAAAAUACGACUAUUAUUAAUAAAAUUAGACACUAGAAUAGAGGAUAAUUUAUUCGUAAGAGGAUUGACUGAAGUAGUUUGUAAACGUCUGUGACUCAGCCGGGGAGAGAGAGAGUAGAAAGGAAAAGGAUGUGAUUUGUUGCUGUUCUGUGAUAUUGUAGAUAUUGUAGAUGCAACCUCCCUGCCUGGUAAGUCAGGCAGGGCAUAUGUUGUGGGAAUUUAAUUUAAAGUAUGCAUUCAAUUUAAAAAAGAAAGAAAAGAAAGAGAGGGCAAACAGAAUAUGAACAGGGUUAUUAAGAAAGGUAAAACUGCCUUAUCAGAAAUGUGUUUGGGAUUUUGGAUUUUUCAAGAUUUUGGAAUACUUGUACUUGGAUACAUUUUAACGGUGUGUAUUUAGUUAUAUGUAUUUUAAUAAUGUUGUGUUUGAUCACUCCAUUUUAACCCCGUUGGACCCUGUCUUGAGCUGCAAGGAGAGGCGGUUAGUAUAUUUAUUUGUAAUAACUUUGUACAUGAAACAAGGUUUGCGUACAGUAAACCAUCAGAAAGCACUCCCUCAGUCAUCCAACUGGGCAAUUUUGCGGUUUUUUUCUGAUUCAGAAUUCUGGGUAAGGGAUGUUUAACCUAUAAUGUUAACCUAAUGUAUAAAAUAGAAAAAUAACUUAAGAUGUUCUAACAUUUUAAAAUUAAUUUUUACCAUAUAUAUAUUGCCCAUCUUGGUUCUAUUAGGACUUCUAGAUCUUCUAGCACUACUCCACGUAAUAUAGAUUCACAUUGGAGAAACUAUUGAUUUUUAGAGAGGUAUUCUUUCUGGAUAUCUCUAGUUCUUCCAGCAUGACUAGAGAAUGUUGAACAUAGAGUAACACAAGAGAACCUAGAGAUUCCUAGAGAGAACAUUUUCAUCAUAUCCAUGAAUAACCAGAUAGAUACGCAGAUGAUACCACUUUGAUGGCUGAAAGCGACGAGAAACUGAGGAGCAUUAUAACCAAGGUGAAAGAAGAAAGUGCAAAAGCUGCUUUGCAGUUAAACAUCAAGAAAACCAAGAUUAUGGCAACCAGAUUGAUUGAUAAAUGGCAAAUAGAGGGAGAAUACAUGGAGGCAGUGACAGACUUUGUAUUUCUAGGUGCAAAGAUUACUGCAGACGCAGACUGCAGCCAGGAAAUUAGAAGACAUUUACUUCUUGAGAGGAGAGCAAUUACCAACCUUGAUAAAAUAGAGAAGAGUAGAGACAUCACACUGGCAACGAAGGUCCAUAUAAUUAAAGCAAUGGUUUUCCCCGUAGUAACCUAUGGAUCUGAGAGCUGGAUCAUAUGGAAGGCUGAGCAAUGGAAGAUAGGCGCUUUUGAACUGUGGUGUUGGAGGAAAAUUUGAGAGUGCCUUGGACCGCAAGAAGAUCCAAUCAGUCCAUUCUGCAGGAAAUAAUUCCAGACUGCUCACUGGAGGGAAGAAUAUUAGAGGCAAAGAUGAAGUAAGUACUUUGGCCACAUCAUGAGAAGACAGGAAAGCUUGGAGAAGAGAAAGAUGCUGGGAAAAAUGGAAGGAAAAAGGAAGAGAGGCCGACCAAGGGCAAGAUGGAUGGAUGGUAUACUUGAAGUGACUGGCUUGACUUUGAAGGAACUGGGGGAGGCGACUGCUGACAGGGAGCUCUGGUGUGGGCUGGUCCAUGGGAGUCAGAAGCAACUGAACGAAUAAACAACAACAAUAAAUAAUCAGAUCUGCAGAAAUUAAAAACCGCAAAUGUGGAGGAACAACUGCAUGUUUUGGAGUGCCAAAAACAUGGAAGAAGCUGUCGGGAGGACUAAAGCCUGACUAUCUCCAGUGUUUGAAGACUCUAAUUCUGGAAAAUGCUAGUUCAGUCUCCAUCGUAAAAUAAUCAAGAACUCACAGUGCAGCCUGGCUGUUUGAAGAUGUAAUAUAGAUAGCAGCAUGGAAUAAGACUAUGAAAAAAUAAAUAGAUGAAAAAAUAAAUAGAUAUACUGGAAAGUUCCCCUAAUUAUAUUCCAAAACUUACAUUUUGACACAAGUUGGCUUGAUGGCACAUAAGAGCAACAGAUAUUAACAAGUUAUAGAGAACAGCAAACCACUGUUCAAUGAACCUGUCUUUUAAAAUCAUAAGUUAUCAAGCUGCAUACACUUUUUGAUAGAGCUGUUGUUUACAUUUGGAGGUUAAUUGUAUUAACUGCAUAAUUGUACCAUGGGAAACAGAAAAGACAACAUAAUUUCUUUAAAAACCUUUGACGAGAUGAAGGAGUUACUGGGUUGCUGUGAGUUUUCCAGGCCAUAUUCCAGAAAUAUUCUCUUCUAAUAUUUCACCCAAUUCUAUGGCAGGUAUCCUCAGAAACUAGGCAAGUGGGGUUUAUAUAUCUGUGGAAAGUCCAGGGUGAGAGAAAGAACUCUUGUCUGCUUGAGGCAAGUGUGAAUGUUGCAAUUGACCAUCUUGAUUAGCAUUUAAUGGCCUUGUAGCUUCCAAGCCAGGCUGGUUGCUGCCUGGUGGGAUCCUUUGUUUUAACAAUUUAGCUGGCCCUGAUUGUUGUCUGGAAUUCCCUGCUAUUUUAGUGUUGCUCUUUAUUUACUGUCCUGAUUUUAGAGUUUUUUAAUACUGGUAGCCAGAUUUUGUUCAUUUACAUCGUUUCCUCCUUUUUGUUGAAAUUGUCCACAUGCUUAUGGAUUUCAAUGGCUUCUCUGUGUAGUCUGACAUGGAGACUACGUCAGGAGAAAAUGCUUCUGGAACAUGGCCAUAGAGUCAGGAAAACUCACAGCAACCCCAUGAUUCCGGCCUUCAACAACACAUUAAAGGAAUUCCUAUUUUCAAAAAGGAAAUAAUUAAUCUGCCAAUUGCAUAAUGCAGUGAGGUUCUUAAUUUUGUCCUUUUGAUUGUUGUUUCUCUUUUUAGGUCAAAAUUAUCUCCCUGAAAUGUCAUUCCAUAAGACAACCAAAUCUUUGGCAAAAGAACUGGACCCACAAGGAGAUUUGAUUCCAGUAUGCUCCAGUAUAGACCAUGACAAGUAUCGACUUUUUUGCGUGCUUUACAAAAAGGAAAAGACUUCAUGGUGGAAGACUGAGCCUUUUCAAAAAACGGAAUACAAACUCAUAGAUGUGGUUUGUUCUGGCGGUGAUGCUGUAAAUUUAGAUGUCAUUGACGGAGACAUCAUUACCAUGAAGGUAGAGGUAGAUGGAGCAGUGGGAGGACAAAUUUCUGGACAUGAUAUAGCCGCUGUAGAAGCUAAUGUGUCUAUGUCCUGUGCAAGGUCUAUGAAGAUGAAAAGGAUAGAAUUAGGUUCCGCAAUCAUCAAUUCUGUGAAAAAGCUAAAAAUCGACAGGGAUCAUGAGUUCAUUAAACAAUCAAGGAAGCUUAACUACGACCUGUAUAUUGUGACUGAGGCAGUAGAGACUGUGGAAGCUGCACUGAUUGAGGAAUCCAGCCAAAAGAAAGGCGGCAUCUUUUAUCAAGCCUAUCUCAAAAUGGGACUGAAGUGUACCAGAGAUAGUAAGAAGACAUUUCUUAUCCCAAAAUCUUGCAUUCUCGCAUUCAGAACCAAGAAAAUAAAAGUAUUAAAGAAUUCAAUAGCUCUUUCCUACCAUUCAGAUGAACAUACAGGAACCUGGAAGUUUGCCGAGUCAGAAGAGGAAUAUCGAGCAUUUUUUGACCAAGGAGUCUACCGGAUACCGUGCAGCUGUGGACAAGUAUACAAAAGGACCAAACACAGAGCCCAAACAAGAGUCAAAGAACAUGAAAGGCACUGCAGACUAAUUCAACCAGAGAAAUCAGCCAUGGCAGAGCGCUUGAUGAGCCAUCCUGGACACAGUAUAUUAUUUGAGAACACAGAAAUGCUGGACCAUUCCAACAACUAUCAUGUCAGACUACACAGAGAAGCCAUUGAAAUCCACAAGCAUGUGGACAACUUCAACAGAAAGGAAGAAACCAUGAAAAUGAACAAAAUCUCGCUACCAGUAUUACAAAACUCUAAAAUCAAAACAGUAGAUGGGAACCAACACUCUGAGGGCAGAGGACGGCUAAUGACUGAACAAAGGAUGCCCCCAGGCAAGAGACAAAAACCUUUCCAAUGCUAAUUAGGGUGAUUAACUGAAACAUUAAUGCUGGCUUUCCAGUGACAAAGGACUCUUGCCACACCCUGGACUCUACACAGAUAUAUAUUCUUUCCUUUCCUUAUUUCGUUUAUCCAUACCUCACAACCUCUGAGGAUGCUUGCCAUAGAUGUGGGCAAAACGUCAGGAGAGAAUACUUCUGGAACAUGGCCACACAGCCCGAAAGACAUACAACAACCCUUUGAUCACGGGCAUGAAAGCCUUCGACAACACAAAUAUGGGGAAUCUGACAUAACACAAUAUUUCUGCAGUGUGGGGUUUAAAAAACUCUCAGAAGAAAGGAAAGCCACACAAUACAUAUUUUUAUCACCUCUGUGAAUGAUGCUUGAUACUCAGAGGUAGAAAAUAAUUUAAUAUCCCUUGACACUCAAACUCUUAGCAAAUGACAUCAAAUCUUUGUAUUAACAGUCAUAUGCCAAGAAGGGGCGAAUUCGUGAAUACAUUACACACAUUUGAAAAAGGCAAACUGGUGAAUAUAUUAGGAAUUUGUGCAAUCACCAUGGCAGAUGGUUGCCAUGGGAGUGGACUUGUCCAAGUCCGUCAAGGUGAAUGAUGCCAGUCAGACACAGGAUACCGAGGGAGGUAUCUUUAGGCAAAUUAGCCUCUGAAGAUGCCCUGUUGAGAACUCCUAUCUUAAAGGCCUUCUUAAUCAAAUAUUAAUCUAUUUCAAUACAAGAAAUACAUCUAACCUGCACUCCUGAUGGGGUUAUGGAUUUUAAUUUAAUUUAAUUUAAUUUAAUUUAAUUCUACCCAUGAGGCACCUCUUUGUGCUUGUGCUCUGUGCUGAGAAUAUUUUAUGCUGGGUUUACAUGGUGACAUAAAUACAAUAUUAUCAAUAACAUGAAAUAAUACCAGUAAUAUCAGAUACUUAGCCCUCGAGUAUCUUUUUCCUUAAAUGGGUUCAUAGCAUCUGAUCAUGAACUCUCAAUCCUCUUUAUCAGGCAAACCCAGUAAAGAAAGUAUACAGCGGGAGGUUGAAGAGGAAUGUGCACAGUUCUCAUCCUUAUCUGCAAAUCUGCGAGGUGUGUUUCUAACUGGCUUUGUGGCAGUAAUGAGGAGCAAGGACCUUCUACAAAAGCUAGAGUUCCAGCUGGAGGAGGCCCUUGAAGCCCCUGGCCAAUGCAAGCUGAUGGCUGACAAGCCAGAAUUGCAAGAUUUGGUGGAUAAUUUACAAGACUGCAGUGGAGUCAUCAUCCCUGAACGUGCAAAGGCAGUUUUCUAUUUUCUCAAAGCCUUAGGUGAACUGCAAGAGGAAGAACAAUUGAUGCUCUUGGAAGAAUCUGUGGAAAAAAAUAUUGUGCCCAAGCAGCUGGCACUGUUUGAGAUCAUUUUAGGCCAUGUUCGAAACUACUGGAAUAUGGAAUUUACUGUAGAUGCCCAGAUCUUAUCUGAAGAGGAGAUGAUUAUAACGGGAGCAAUGCUUGAAAUGAGUGGAGUGACCAUUCAGGAAACUGAAGCUCAUCUUAUUGGAACAGGAAAGCCUGCAGCUUUCGUGUCCUUGUAUGUGGUUCUUUAUGUGCUCAAUCUUCUAACUAAGUAAGAAGAUGACUGAAUUCAUCAUGAUAUUUGGAUGACUAAAGCUGUACACAUUUAUCUGGGAAAGUUCCAUUUAUUUCCAAGCUUGAAAAAAUAUAUUUUGGGCUACAACUCCCACAAUCAUGGGUCAGGCAAAUUGCAGUUCGGAAAAGUAACUUUUUCCACUCUUUCCUCAGUGGGGCUUAGUUCUGAGCAAAAUAUGUACAGGAUUUUACUGUGCUGCAUACAGGUAUAUACAGCCUUGCUCUCUAUUACACUAUAUAGCCUUAUUUUCAGUCACCUUUUUGGCCUUCUAAUAUUCUCUAUGUAGUACGUUUAUGGUUUCCCAAAUCCAUAUACAGGUUGAGCAUCCCAUUACCCAAAAUAAUCCAAAAUGAUCUGUGUUGGUCACUGAAAUAGUACACCUUUGCUUUCUUUUGCUUAAAUGUACACACACUUUGUUUCAUGCACAAAAUUAUUAAAUUAUUGCAUACAAUUAUCUUCAGCCUAGGUAUUUUAGAUGUUUCUGAAGCAUAACAUUUUAUAUGUAUGUUUAGACUUCAGACCCAACUCCAAUAUAUUUUAGUGUGUGUGUGUGUGUGUGUGUGUGUGUGUGUGUGUGUGUGUGUAGCUUGUAUGAUCCAUCCAAACAAGGUUUUUAAAAUCUUUACUAAAGGGGGUGCACUGGUGUUUCAAUUCUAAAGAGUUUCUAAAGUUUCUUUAGUAAAAAAAAUUCUGUUCCUCUUACGAGAGUAACAGAAUUUUGUUACUUUUUCAUUAAAGUAAUUGGGCACCUGGGGGCUGGGGCUGGGGCUCAUUUAUUCCUUAUUUUUACAGCUAUGGGGGUGAAACUUGCUACAAUGGUAGUACACGUUUACCCCUGUAAGCUCACCAAAUUUUGGGGAUUUUUGAAGUAUUUAUAAACAACGCUUUAAAAAAAAAACUACAAUAGCUAGCUCCUUGAAUUUACUAUACAAUGACAGAAGAUAACCGGGGAUCAUUCUCCCCAACUUUCAGAAAUAUUCAGACAUCUACUGAUUUUAGUGGCAAACACGUGCUUUUUUCAGAAAGCCACAAAAGAUAUCUCAUUAAAUGCCUGCCAAAUUAUUAAAUACAGUAAUAUUAUAUGAUAGUAGAAUCAUAGAGCUGGAAGGGACCCCACAGGCCAUCCAGUCUAACCCCCUUUCCGCCAUGCAGCAAAAGCAGAAUCAAAACACCCCCAACAAAUAGCCAUUCAGCCUCUGAAAAAUAUAAUAAUAAAGAAAAUAUGUUCCUAGUUUGAAAGUAUUAUUUCCUGUUUAGUCCGUACUUUGAAAGUCAUUUUGUACUCCAGAAACUUGUUUUUUCUGCCUAAACCUAUGUUAAAUUGGUGGAGAAGACUCACUGAGAAAACUCAAAAUGAGCAGUGUCAUGCCACGAGCAGGCAAAACAUUACCUGCUGCCCUGUCUCUUUAAGGUUCCAAAGGGGCGGAGCUUAGCCUUGGCUCCUGCCAGCCUGAAAUGGCAGUUAUUUUUGUCAGUUAGAAUUUGUCAGUUGGUGAGGCACUGGAAGGAAGUGUAGGAAGUAAAAGGAUCACAGAAAUUCACGUCACGUUGGAACUGUAUUCAAAUUAGAUUAAAAAGCCAUAGACUACAGCAAUAGAGAAAGCCAUGUCAAUAUUGCAUUGAAGUCAUCUCAAAGAUACAAAGAAUCCAGUCAUAACAAGACUUUAUACUCUGUGGCAAUAUCUAUCCAGAACUGCAUAGACUCAAAGAUUUCUUUCCUCACAAGAGACUUCAUAGUGGCAUCAAGAGGAAAAGAGAUCAAUUUUGUCUAUUAAUAAAAUAUUUUGUUUCACAACUACAGUCUCCAAUCUGUCCUUCGUGCUAUGAGUCCUUCCAGUUCAUUUAAUUAAGCAUGGAGGCAGAACAGUGAAUUUCUUUCCUUUGACCUUCCCAAGUAAAAGUGAAUUUCUUUCCUUCAAGCUUCCUGAAUAAAAGUGAAUUUAUUUUCCUUUGA